rnacentral:rRNA from 1 species
GGGGGGCCAUGGCGCUGCUACACAUGCAGUCGAACGCUCUCGUUCCUUCGGGAACAAUGAGAGAGUGGCGAACGGGUGACUAUCACGUGAGAAACCUGCCCUGGAGACCGGGACAACCCGGGGAAUCUCGGGCUAAUACCGGAUAUCUCCACCGGACCGCAUGGUCUGGUGAAGAAAUGCUCCGGCGCUCUGGGAGGGUCUCGCGGCCUAUCAGCUAGUUGGUGAGGUAACGGCUCACCAAGGCAUCGACGGGUAGCUGGUCUGAGAGGACGAUCAGCCACACUGGGACUGAGACACGGCCCAGACUCCUACGGGAGGCAGCAGUGGGGAAUCUUGCGCAAUGGGCGAAAGCCUGACGCAGCAACGCCGCGUGGGGGAUGAAGGCCCUCGGGUCGUAAACCCCUUUCAGCAGGGACGAAAAUGACGGUACCUGCAGAAGAAGGACCGGCCAACUACGUGCCAGCAGCCGCGGUAACACGUAGGGUCCAAGCGUUGUCCGGAUUCAUUGGGCGUAAAGAGCUCGUAGGCGGUUUUGUAAGUCGGGUGUGAAAACUCAGGGCUCAACCCUGAGACGCCACCCGAUACUGCAAUGACUCGAGUCCGGUAGGGGAGCAUGGAAUUCCUGGUGUAGCGGUGAAAUGCGCAGAUAUCAGGAGAAACACCAGUAGCGAAGGCGGUGCUCUGGGCCGGUACUGACGCUGAGGAGCGAAAGCGUGGGGAGCGAACAGGAUUAGAUACCCUGGUAGUCCACGCCGUAAACGUUGGGCACUAGGUGUGGGAUUCAAUCAACGGAUUCCGUGCCGUAGCUUACGCAUUAAUUGCCCCGCCUGGGGAGUACGGCCGCAAGGCUAAAACUUCAAUGAAUGGACG